rnacentral:rRNA from 1 species
AGUGAACGCUGGCGGUAGGCCUAACACAUGCAAGUCGAACGGCAGCACAGUAAGAGCUUGCUCUUACGGGUGGUGAGUGGCGGACGGGUGAGGAAUACAUCGGAAUCUACUUUUUCGUGGGGGAUAACGUAGGGAAACUUACGCUAAUACCGCAUACGACCUACGGGUGAAAGCAGGGGAUCUUCGGACCUUGCGCGAUUGAAUGAGCCGAUGUCGGAUUAGCUAGUUGGCGGGGUAAAGGCCCACCAAGGCGACGAUCCGUAGCUGGUCUGAGAGGAUGAUCAGCCACACUGGAACUGAGACACGGUCCAGACUCCUACGGGAGGCAGCAGUGGGGAAUAUUGGACAAUGGGCGCAAGCCUGAUCCAGCCAUACCGCGUGGGUGAAGAAGGCCUUCGGGUUGUAAAGCCCUUUUGUUGAGAAAGAAAAGCAGCAGGUUAAUACCCCGCUGUUCUGACGGUACCCAAAGAAUAAGCACCGGCUAACUUCGUG